AGCGAACGCUGGCGGCAGGCCUAACACAUGCAAGUCGAACGGACCCUUCUGGGUUAGUGGCGGACGGGUGAGUAACACGUGGGAACGUGCCUUUAGGUUCGGAAUAGCUCCUGGAAACGGGUGGUAAUGCCGAAUGUGCCCUUCGGGGGAAAGAUUUAUCGCCUUUAGAGCGGCCCGCGUCUGAUUAGCUAGUUGGUGAGGUAACGGCUCACCAAGGCGACGAUCAGUAGCUGGUCUGAGAGGAUGACCAGCCACACUGGGACUGAGACACGGCCCAGACUCCUACGGGAGGCAGCAGUGGGGAAUCUUGCGCAAUGGGCGAAAGCCUGACGCAGCCAUGCCGCGUGAAUGAUGAAGGUCUUAGGAUUGUAAAAUUCUUUCACCGGGGACGAUAAUGACGGUACCCGGAGAAGAAGCCCCGGCUAACUUCGUG
rnacentral:rRNA from 1 species